AUGCAUGGAUUAAACAUGUUAUUUCUAGUUGAUUCUGGGAGUUCCCACUCCUUCGUGGAUGCUGCAUUUUCUGACAAACUACAAGGCCUCACUCCGAUGUCCCAAGUGUUGGUUAAAAUUGCCAAUGGAGACACAAUUCCUUGCAACAAACAGAUUCUGGACUGCUAUUGGUCCUGUGUUGGGCACAAAUUCAUGAAUUCUUCCAAGGUUUUUCCUCUGGGCAGCUAUGAUGGCAUCCUUGGCUGGUUUUCAUCAUACAGUCCAAUGCUAGUAGACUGGAGAAACCAUUGGAUGUCAUUUACUUAUCAAGGAACUGAAAUUACCCUACUAGGCACAACAACAGUAACACCAAUAGUUGUAGUGUUGAAAGUGUGUGCUCUUUUCUUUACUGAAAACAGUCCCAUCCUGCCUGAAGUUCAGUUGGUUUUGAAUGAUUUUCAACACCUGUUUGAGACGCCAACCGGCAUACCUUCUCGUAGAGCCUAUGACCGCACCAUUCCGUUAAUCCCUGGUGCCAAUCCAGUUCCUAUGAGAUCGUAUCGUUUGGAUCCUACACUAAAAACUGAGUUGGAACAUCAGAUACAAGAAAUGCUUUCUAAUGGAGUUAUCAGACCUAGCAACAGUCCAUUUUCUUCUCCUCUUCUCAUGAUCAAGAAGAAGGAUGAAACUUGGAGGCUAGUGAUGGAUUAUAGGCACUUAAAUGCAAUGACUCAGAAGGGUAAAAUUCCUAUACUUGUUAUUGAUGAACUGCUAGAAGAACUGGUCGGUGCUAGUUGGUUCAGUAAAUUGGAUCUUCGAUCUGGCUAUCAUCAAAUUCGUUUGCCCUCAAGUGAGGAGUACAAGACUGCCUUCGAGACAAACUUAGGGACUAUGAAUUUCUGGUGUUCUCCUUUGUAA
rnacentral:rRNA from 1 species